CCUACGUGAGGCAGCAGUGAGGAAUAUUGGUCAAUGGGCUUACGCCUGAACCAGCCAAGUCGCGUGAGGGAAGACUGCCCUAUGGGUUGUAAACCUCUUUUGUCAGGGAGCAACGCCGGCUACGUGUAGCCGGACUGAGAGUACCUGAAGAAAAAGCAUCGGCUAACUCCGUGCCAGCAGCCGCGGUAAUACGGAGGAUGCGAGCGUUAUCCGGAGUUAGUGGGUUUAAAGGGUGCGUAGGCGGAAUGCCAAGUCAGCGGUAAAAUCGCGGGGCUCAACCUCGCUCCGCCGUUGAAACUGGCGUUCUUGAGUGGGCGAGAAGUAUGCGGGAUGCGUGGUGUAGCGGUGAAAUGCAUAGAUAUCACGCAGAACUCCGAUUGCGAAGGCAGCAUACCGGCGCCCAACUGACGCUGAAGCACGAAAGCGUGGGUAUCGAACAGGAUUAGAUACCCUGGUAGUG
rnacentral:rRNA from 1 species